CCCCGUACACAAAAAUGCACAUGCUGUGAGCUCGAUGAGUAGGGCGGGACACGUGGUAUCCUGUCUGAAUAUGGGGGGACCAUCCUCCAAGGCUAAAUACUCCUGACUGACCGAUAGUGAACCAGUACCGUGAGGGAAAGGCGAAAAGAACCCCGGCGAGGGGAGUGAAAAAGAACCUGAAACCGUGUACGUACAAGCAGUGGGAGCACGCUUAGGCGUGUGACUGCGUACCUUUUGUAUAAUGGGUCAGCGACUUAUAUUCUGUAGCAAGGUUAACCGAAUAGGGGAGCCGAAGGGAAACCGAGUCUUAACUGGGCGUUAAGUUGCAGGGUAUAGACCCGAAACCCGGUGAUCUAGCCAUGGGCAGGUUGAAGGUUGGGUAACACUAACUGGAGGACCGAACCGACUAAUGUUGAAAAAUUAGCGGAUGACUUGUGGCUGGGGGUGAAAGGCCAAUCAAACCGGGAGAUAGCUGGUUCUCCCCGAAAGCUAUUUAGGUAGCGCCUCGUGAAUUCAUCUCCGGGGGUAGAGCACUGUUUCGGCAAGGGGGUCAUCCCGACUUACCAACCCGAUGCAAACUGCGAAUACCGGAGAAUGUUAUCACGGGAGACACACGGCGGGUGCUAACGUCCGUCGUGAAGAGGGAAACAACCCAGACCGCCAGCUAAGGUCCCAAAGUCAUGGUUAAGUGGGAAACGAUGUGGGAAGGCCCAGACAGCCAGGAUGUUGGCUUAGAAGCAGCCAUCAUUUAAAGAAAGCGUAAUAGCUCACUGGUCGAGUCGGCCUGCGCGGAAGAUGUAACGGGGCUAAACCAUGCACCGAAGCUGCGGCAGCGACACUGUGUGUUGUUGGGUAGGGGAGCGUUCUGUAAGCCUGUGAAGGUGUACUGUGAGG
rnacentral:rRNA from 1 species